AGAGAUUUAGGUUAAAACAGACCAAGGGCCUUCAAAGCCCUAAGUAAGUAUAUAUACUUAAUCUCUG
rnacentral:tRNA from 1 species